AUUGAACGCUGGCGGCAGGCCUAACACAUGCAAGUCGAGCGAGCGGCGGACGGGUGCGUAAUGUCUGGGAAACUGCCUGAUGGAGGGGGAUAACUACUGGAAACGGUAGCUAAUACCGCAUACCAUCAGAUGUGCCCAGAUGGGAUUAGCUAGUAGGUGGGGUAACGGCCCACCUAGGCGACGAUCCCUAGCUGGUCUGAGAGGAUGACCAGCCACACUGGAACUGGGAAAGGGCCCGGACUCCUCCGGGAGGAAGAAGGGGGUAAUAUUGCACAAUGGGGGCAAGCCUGAUGCAGCCAUGCCGCGUGGGUGAAGAAGGCCUUCGGGUUGUAAAGCACUUUCAGCGGGGAGGCGUUACCCGCAGAAGAAGCACCGGCUAACUCCGUGCCAGCAGCCGCGGUAAUAC
rnacentral:rRNA from 1 species